AGCCUCUUUAGCUCAGUUGGUAGAGCAGCUCAUUCGUAAUGAGCAGGUCGUUGGUUCGAGUCCAAUAAGAGGCUCCC
rnacentral:tRNA from 1 species